CCUACGGGUGGCAGCAGUGGGGAAUAUUGCGCAAUGGGCGAAAGCCUGACGCAGCGACGCCGCGUGGGUGAUGAAGGCCUUCGGGUUGUAAAGCCCUGUCGGGUGGAACGAACGAUCUGGCGGCGAAUAACCGCCGGGUGUGACGGUACCACCGAAGGAAGCCCCGGCUAACUACGUGCCAGCAGCCGCGGUAAGACGUAGGGGGCGAGCGUGGUUCGGAUUUACUUAGGGGGAAGCGCGAGUCGGCUGUGAAACCCCUCGGCUUAACCGAGGUACCGCAUCCGAUACUGGCUGGCUCGAGUCUAGGAGAGGAAAGCGGAAUUCCCAGUGUAGCGGUGAAAUGCGUAGAUAUUGGGAGGAACACCGGUGGCGAAGGCGGCUUUCCGGACUAGUACUGACGCUGAGGCGCGAAAGCUAGGGGAGCGAACGGGAUUAGAUACCCCGGUAGUC
rnacentral:rRNA from 1 species